AAUAAAAUUUACAAUUUUUUUAAAAAAGGAGUUGGGUGUAAAUAUUAAGCUGGGUUAACUUAGGAGAAAGUUGGGUUUCCGUAUCAAAGCGAAAGCCGAAAUUAACCAGAAAUCAGCCGCUCUGUUUUUGGUCUCCGCGCCGCAGUUCAUUCCCAGCUUCUUCUACUUCUACUCUGGAGCUCUUUGCAACAAGAGUAACAUUCCAAAAUCAACUUACCUCAGGCCUCAGGUUUCAACUAGGGUUUUUCGAUUUUCCAAUAGAAAUUGAUUAUUGUCGACUUCUAAAUAUGGCAUUGCUCUUCAAGUUGAAGAGCCUCAGAUUGGGUUAUUCAAUACUUUCUUCUACAUUUGCUUCAAAAACUAAAAGGUUUGUUGUUGGAGAUCGAAAACCCUCAAAUUUUUCUCUUCAAAAUCAGUUACUCUGCCGACACUUCACCUCAGAAAUCUCGGCAAACCAACACAAUUUCACAGUCACUUACCUCAUAAACUCAUGUGGGUUGUCUCCAAAAGCUGCAAUUUCAGCAUCCAAGAAGGUCGAGUUGCAAACCCCAGAAAGAGCAGACUCCGUCUUGGCCCUUGUGAGAAACCAUGGACUCUCUGAAGCCCAGCUCUCAAAGUUUGUCAGGUUACACCCAGAAGUUCUUUUAGCCGAUCCUGAGCAAACCCUUCUGCCAAAGCUUCGGUUUUUCAUCUCUCUCGGAAUUUCAAAGGAGGACCUUGCGAAAACUCUGGCUUUCUGUCCGCAGAUUUUGUCAAGAAGCUUGGAGAAAGAGAUUUUACCCGAUUAUAAUUUCCUUAGGAGCUUGAUUCCUGAGAACAAGGUUGUUUCUGUUUUGAAGGGCCGCUCGUGGUUUUUCUUCGAAGGCCACUCCAAAAAUGUGGUGCCAAAUAUUGAUCUUUUGAGACAACUAGUUGUGGGUAAGGUCAAGGAAAUGGGAUUUAAUCUGGAAAAAGCCACUUCCGUGUCUGCUCUACGUGUAUUGUGUGGUAGGCACAAGUCAGUAUGGAAUCGAAGUUGGGAACUUUAUAGUAGAUGGGGUUGGUCUGAUGACGAUAUUCUCUCUGCUUUCAGGCGGUAUCCGCAGUGUAUGAUUCACUCGGAGAAGAAGGUAAUGGAAGUAAUGGAUCUUUUAGUGAACAACAUGGGAUGGCCGUCAAGAAAGAUUGCCCAAUAUCCUGUCCUGUGGUCCUAAGCUUGAGUUUAAAGAGGAGACUGAUCCCAAGGUGUUCGGUUGUUAAGGUUUUGUUUUUGAAAGGAGUUAUAGAUGAAAACUUGCAUUUGGGUUCUGUGUUGCGGCCUGUGGAGAAGCACUUCCUGGAGAAAUUUGUAACUGCAUAUCUCAAGGAAAUACCUCAAUUGUUGAAUGUGUAUCAAGGGAAAGUUGAAUUCCAGGAUGUAUGAUGUUAUAACAGUUUUAACACCUUGAUGCUGCAGUGUUUUGCUUGGAAAAUUGCUUUUGAUACAA